rnacentral:rRNA from 1 species
AGGACGAACGCUGGCGGCGUGCCUAACACAUGCAAGUCGAGCGAGGGCAGGGCUUCGGUCCUGACCCGAGCGGCGGACGGGUGAGUAACACGUGAGUAAUCUGUCUCUGUGCGGGGGACAACCCGGGGAAACUCGGGCUAAUACCGCAUGGUCGGUACCCAGGUUCUGGGAAUCGGGAAAGGUGGCCUCUUUACAAUGCUGCCGUGCAGAGAGGAACUCGCGGGCUAUCAGCUAGUUGGUAGGGUUACGGCCUACCAAGGCGACGACGGCUACGGGGUCUGAGAGGACGACCCCGCACAUUGGAACUGAGACACGGUCCAGACUCCUACGGGAGCAGCAGGUGGGGAAUAGUUGGGCAAGUGG